rnacentral:misc_RNA from 1 species
UUAACUAUUAUAUAGUACUCAGACAUCACUAAAAACAAGAGUUGGGUUCUCUGGCAGGCACAUACCAGCCGAAGCCGGUAGCGGAGGCCGCGGCCUGCCAAAGCAACAAAGGUAUGUAUUUCAAGGGUGGGAGAUCUACCCGUGAGGGCAUGAACUCUGUAAUGAUCCUUCCGCAGGUUCACCUACGGAAA